AAAGGUUUACAGGCGAAGAAAAUUAUGCAUAAAGAAAGAGAUGAAAAUUGAUCUUAGAUAUAACUUCUACAAAUCCAUAAGACAAAGACGUUAGGCCAGUAACCGGAACUCGACGCAACUACUCAUAUGAACCUCGUCGGCUAUGACCUCGAGCGCAGAGCUUUACGGAAUUCAUGGAGGAUUUUGGAUCUGUUUUCUCAACAAAAAAAUGGCACCGAUUUGAGCUUAAAUUAUUUAACUCUCAUGAGUUUUUUUGGAGGAAGAAAAUCAGCAGCAGCUGCUGCAUCUUGGCUGGAUUUCUU
rnacentral:lncRNA from 1 species